UGCUUGGGAACUUGCCUUUGCGAGGGGGAUAACAGUUGGAAACGACUGCUAAUACCGCAUAAUGUCUUCGGACCAAACGGGGCUUCGGCUCCGGCGCAAAGAGAGGCCCAAGUGAGAUUAGCUAGUUGGUAAGGUAACGGCUUACCAAGGCGACGAUCUCUAGCUGUUCUGAGAGGAAGAUCAGCCACACUGGGACUGAGACACGGCCCAGACUCCUACGGGAGGCAGCAGUGGGGAAUAUUGCACAAUGGGGGAAACCCUGAUGCAGCCAUCCGCGUGUGUGAAGAAGGCCUUCGGGUUGUAAAGCACUUUCAGUUGUGAGGAAAAGUUAGUAGUUAAUACCUGCUAGCCGUGACGUUAACAACAGAAGAAGCACCGGCUAACUCCGUGCCAGCAGCCGCGGUAAUACGGAGGGUGCGAGCGUUAAUCGGAAUUACUGGGCGUAAAGCGCACGCAGGCGGUUUGUUAAGCUAGAUGUGAAAGCCCCGGGCUCAACCUGGGAUGGUCAUUUAGAACUGGCAGACUAGAGUCUUGGAGAGGGGAGUGGAAUUCCAGGUGUAGCGGUGAAAUGCGUAGAUAUCUGGAGGAACAUCAGUGGCGAAGGCGACUCCCUGGCCAAAGACUGACGCUCAUGUGCGAAAGUGUGGGUAGCGAACAGGAUUAGAUACCCUGGUAGUCCACACCGUAAACGCUGUCUACUAGCUGUGUGUGUCUUUAAGGCGUGCGUAGCGAAGCUAACGCGCUAAGUAGACCGCCUGGGGGAGUACGGCCGCAAGGUUAAAACUCAAAUGAAUUUGACGGGGGGCCCGCACAAGCGGUGGAGCAUGGUGGGUUUAAUUCGAUGC
rnacentral:rRNA from 1 species